AGCCAUGCGAUGCGGCCGCCAGACCUAAUUGCCUGUGUUUCUCCUCACAUAAAAUGCAGUGGUUAAUGCAAUGUUCAUUUCUCUGGAAGUCUUGUGUGGGCUGAGGAGGCAGCUGUAACGUGUGCAAGCCUGCUGUGGAGAAUAGCAAUGAGGACCCGGCUCCUGAGGCGGCUCUACUAGGAGUACGGUCAGGGACCAAGCAUGCUGCAGCACCACAAGCUGGUGAUCAAGCCUUUGAUGCACGAGUCUCCGGAGACAUUCUAGGUCGAAGCAAUCACACGGGAAGGGUGUGUAUGAGUUGUGAAUGAGUGUGAACAAAUACUGUACCACUGCACAUAAGGGAUUCAAGCAUCCAUGGGGCUCAAAACCUGAGAGAAGUGCAGGAUUCAACUUGUGGAUAAGAAGAAACUAGAAACACAGCUACAGAAGCCAAGAAGUCUCAAACAGGCUGCUGUCCACAAGAUAGUGGCCUAGGGCAGCAGUGCUAUCCUUCACUCUGAGGCUGGAGGUCCAGGAGCCAGAGAGCCAACGUGCAAAGGCAGAGGUAAGGAUAAUAUUGAAGCAGCUUUCCAGAUACCACCACUACCCCUGUGAAAGUACAGGAAGGAUGUAAUGAACGAGGCCCAUCCCCGACAAGGCUCAGCACAGUACCCAGUGCAGAGGAAGUGCCUGAAUUAAUGCUAGACAUUAUUGAAGAAUUGAUGAAAAAAUUCCAUGAAGAAUGUCAAAAAUACUACGGGGAGCCAUGCUUUUAAUUUAUAAGACUCUCUAGCCCACAAAUACAGCCAGUCUCCUCCCCUACAAAAUCCAUACAAUUUUCUGAAAAUUUCAAGAUUGAUGAUACCCUUGGUCAAAGCAUCAGGCAAGGCAGCCAUCAAAAACCAGCCAGGGCCAUCUAUUCCACCCCGCGUCGAUAGCCUGCAGCAGGCCUGAGAUUUGUUGGCGAGGUCCCUGGAACGUCCAUAAAGGAGAAGAGACUGGGCAGCGAGAUCUGUUUAAUUCUCGCUUUCCAGAGGGUUGUUAUUCAGCACAUCCUUCCUUUUCACAUCAGAGUAAAUCACAAGCUGCCGCCUCAGAUCAGCAACCCCCAAUCCACCGUCCAGCCUGCUGCUAGCCUGCGCUCAAACCCAGGAAUCCAGAGGCAAAUGGGAUCAGUCCUUUAGGUGUUUCCCUAACAAAUCUAUCUCCUCCCUACCCCCACCUUGAGAUCUGUCUCCAUUAAAGUGUGGGAGAAAUGAUGAUCACGCACACACACACACACACACACACACACACCUGCCCUGUGCCCCAGUUUGAAGUUCAUGUUCAUUAGCUGCUAAGACCAGCUGGAGGGCUGCUGACUCUGUGAGGAGACGCAGUCGUGGCUGUGAAAUUAAUGAAGUUUCCUUCUUUGGCCUCCCGAGCCUGCAUAAUCUACAGCCACCAUGGGUCAACAGUCAGGAGCCCCGGGGAAGCCAUUCUACCAUAAACACCACAGGCGUUCUGCUUAAUAAAGUACAUGAACUCCACAUUUGGUCAUGAAGAACACAGUUUUAAAAUACGCUGAGAAGUAAAGCCACGUGAAACUGGCAGCGUCUUCCAGGAGAGACGGUGGGUGAGGUUGUGGGGUGAUGGGGGGGUAGUCUGUUGGACCUUUCCAAGCCUCAGCGAUGAUGUCAUGGAGUGACUGAACAGGGCUAGGUAAGAAUAAGGAUGGUAAGUAAGUCAGCUCACCAACUCCAGGGCACACAAUCUUCUGUCAG